UACGAAGGGGGCUAGCGUUGUUCGGAUUUACUGGGCGUAAAGCGCACGUAGGCGGCUAUUCAAGUCGGGGGUGAAAGCCCGGGGCUCAACCCCGGAACUGCCCUCGAAACUAGGUAGCUAGAAUCUUGGAGAGGCGAGUGGAAUUCCGAGUGUAGAGGUGAAAUUCGUAGAUAUUCGGAAGAACACCAGUGGCGAAGGCGACUCGCUGGACAAGUAUUGACGCUGAGGUGCGAAAGCGUGGGGAGCAAACAGG
rnacentral:rRNA from 1 species